GGCUGGUCUGAAGGUAGUGAGUUAUCUCAACUGACAGUUCAGUCAGUUACAGACCCAACUCCUUGUUCUACUCUUUCCCCCUCCUCACUACUGCACUUAACUAGUCUUAA
rnacentral:Y_RNA from 1 species